GCCGCUUGGGCCCGCAGGGUGCUGCGAGGUUAUUGGGCAACGCAAAUCCAGGCAGCUGGGCUGGAGGCGGUGGUCGCUAGGCUAGGUCAAGGGGGACCGCCUGGGCAGCAACCAUUCCCCUAUUCCUUGUCCUCAGCUUCCCUCCUGCCGGGCACCUCUCGCAGCGCAGGAUGUGGACUGAGUCAAAGCGGUGGGGGGAAGGGAGCAGGUCCCAGACGACCACGAUUCCCGAGGUUCCCACUCCCUGGAGACUCAGUAUGGCUGUACCGCUCCGGUGGUCUGGUCAGCGCACCUUGCCUCUGCACACCCAGCCUAGCCAUUCUCGAUCAUAACUGCUAAAAGGAGCAAAGGAGGAAGGCUUAAGAAGUAGAAUCCACGUGUAAAUCCAAACCCUUAUAUUAGUCUCCCCAUACCCCCAAAUCCGCCUCCAGGUAGCUCUUUAACCAGAACCCCCGGCAGGUAAAUUAAUUUGACUGCUUGGAGUUAAGAGCUAAAUAAGUUUGGGUGAAAAAAUGAGCUAGGACCUUCGGCGAUCCGGGAAAGGAAGACUGAGUCCCGACGUCAAAAGGCCCCGGCCUCGCAUUGGAGGCUACCUGAUUGCUGGAAAACUGUAGCGUUCAAGACAGUGUUGCCACUCAUUCUGUGCUGGUGAAUCCGUGUACACCAUGAUACCAAGACUUAGGGGUGCCAUCAGGCCCUUCUGGAGCCAGCUUCCUACUUGGAGGACACAGAAAAGACCACCGUGCUUCUGCAAUGUGGAUUCCCAGCACCACUUCAAGGUUCCAAAUCCCCGCUGGACCACUAACUCCUGAGGAAUGCUUCUGCCAGUGAACAGUCUAUCAGCGAGGGUCUCGGCGGGAAGCAGAAUUCAACUCAGAGGAUUCCAGUGAAGUGAGUUUAACAAAGGGACGAUCACAGACAUGUGAGCAGGGAAUCAGCAGGGUAACCUCAGACUCACCAGGCACGCUCCAGCCUCAAGGCCGUGUACUUGCCAUCCCCACCCCGUGCUACCCGCCCGUGGUAUCCACGUGGCUCCUUCAUCUCAUUCAGGUCUUGGUUACAGCGCCACCUUCUCAAGCGGGCAUUGUAAGUGCUGCUCCUCGACACUCCCUUCCUCCUCCCCCACCUAAUUUUUUAUAUCACCUGAUAUUUCCAUAUUUAUUUUUUAUUUUCUGCCUCUACCCACUAGAAUGUGGGCAGAGAUUUUUGUCUGUUUUGUUCAUUGCUAUGAUACCAGUGCCUAGAACACCGCCUGGCCCAAGGAAGAGGCUCAAUAAAAAUAUUUGUUGAAUGAAUGAAUGAAUGACUACUAAUUGGACUUAUUAGAGCUCAUAGAGAGACUUGUCCAGGAGUGACAAUUGAUCCAUCUUUCUUGCUUCAACUUGCUGAUCAUGUCCCUGCCUUUUUGGGGAAAGCCUGCUGACACGCAAAGAGCUUUUGUUUGGCCACUAGAGGGCGGUGUUGAUCAGUCUUUUCAUUUUUUAGGAGUCGUGUUCUGAGACCAUUCACCUUCUUUCCCCCAGACCCCAAAAGGAAGAGGUGAGACAGGCUCAUGUCUGCAGCCAAAGCAAAUGCACAGUGUAUCUCUCCCACCCCAACAAUGCUGUCCAAAUGACAUUCAGUUAAAACCUGUAUCAAGAAUGGUCUUGAAAGGAGCAAAGCUCUCCCCCAUAGACACCAUCAGCUGGGCAGAUGACCUCAUUAUUUUG
ensembl:lncRNA